AGAGAGCGACCCCGAGUACCAUUUCAUGUACUUCAGGAUGACAAAGUCCUCCUUCGACAGGCUGCUCGCUCUCGUCUACGAUCGUCUCGUCCAUGCGCCCACGCAUCGUUCGCCGAUCUCUCCCGCUGAGCGGCUUGCGAUUACACUCAGGUUCCUCGCAUCGCCUGGAUCCUUGGGACACAUUGGUGUCAGCUACAGGAUGC